GGGGAAUAUUGGACAAUGGGGGCAACCCUGAUCCAGCAAUGCCGCGUGUGUGAAGAAGGUCUUCGGAUUGUAAAGCACUUUCGACGGGGACGAUGAUGACGGUACCCGUAGAAGAAGCCCCGGCUAACUUCGUGCCAGCAGCCGCGGUAAUACGAAGGGGGCUAGCGUUGCUCGGAAUGACUGGGCGUAAAGAGCGUGUAGGCGGUUUACACAGUCAGAUGUGAAAUCCCCGGGCUUAACCUGGGAGCUGCAUUUGAUACGUGUAGACUAGAGUGUGAGAGAGGGUUGUGGAAUUCCCAGUGUAGAGGUGAAAUUCGUAGAUAUUGGGAAGAACACCGGUGGCGAAGGCGGCAACCUGGCUCAUGACUGACGCUGAGGCGCGAAAGCGUGGGGAGCAAACAGGGUUAGAUACCCUGGUAGUCCACGCUGUAAACGAUGUGUGCUAGAUGUUGGGUAACUUUGUUAUUCAGUGUCGCAGUUAACGCGUU
rnacentral:rRNA from 1 species